AAACCUUGGCUCCCCACCCCCAGGCCAGCAGACGCCCCCGAGCCGGCUGCUCGCUUUCGCUGCAGCCCCCGCACCAGAGGGGGCUGCGAGACGGGUGCCCGUCGGCGGCCGGGCGGCUAUCCCCUGCUCUGCCCGCCCCCUCCCCCCGAGAAGUGACCCUCGGCUCCCACGUACCCGCUAGGGUCUCUCGCCGGCCCUGCCCUCCGACCCCCGCCGAGCUGAACCCCGCGACUAGCAGCCCCCGCCCUCUCGGCCCUCUCCGGCCCCGGGCCGGCGGACAAAGCUCCGGACACCCUGACCGAACGGUCACCUCCCCCCGCCCCAUCCCGGCCCGCCCGCGGCCCCGUACCUCGGCAUCACGGCCGGGUCCUAGCCCACAUUUGGAAGCAACCGGCACCCACGCAGGUUCUGGAACUUGCCAAGAAUCUUUCUGCCUGGAAUCUCAUUUCCCUACUCUGCCUGAUGAGCUCCUAUUCAUCCUUCAGAACCCAACUCAGGUUCCAGGGGUUGAGCCCACUCCAUCCUGUCCAAAGGCAGAAGCCUCCUCCAAGUCCUGCACGAUCCGCCCUCUAACAUGCAAGCCCAUCUGGAACCUCUGGAAUCCUACUGGGCUUCUUCGCUCCCUAAAGUUUACAGACCCAGGGCAAAAUAGGGAACUGCAAAUCCAAGUGGCCCAGAGGUCUCUCCACCCCCACUCUGCCCUCUCUGGGCCUGAGCCUGACAGGAGAUUCCCAGCACAUCUGGUUGUACUUAAAUCAUCCAGCACUACUGGAGUAGGUUCCCUGCUUCUCUCCCUUCAGCCCCAGCCUCCUCCCCUUCCUACACCAGCCUUCCAGGUCUCUCCUCCAGGAUGCCUUCCCUAACUCAUCCAGCCUCGGUAUCUGCACCCCACCCUUGAACCUCCACCUCUUUGGGUCUGGAGUCUGCCAGGGUGUGGAAGGGAGGGUGUGUGCUCCGCAAGACUCAGUGUGUAGAAUCUCAUCCUUCCCGAGCAUUGGUCCUAGAUAGAAACCUUCCCUUCAGGUAAGGAAGGGAGCCAGCCAAGAGCCUCCCCUCUGCUCCCUUGGCCUCAGGGGUGGCUGUCUCCAGUUAUGGGUGUGUACAGUGGGGAGGAACAAGUUCAGAUCCAGGCAGAGCCAUUCCUUUGGCAACUCUUGCUGUCAGCCAUCUUCCAAAGAGCUUUGCAAAAUGUUAAAGAACAAAAGAGAAAUAAAUACAGAGAAUAUAGCAAGUAUAAAAAUGCACAGUCUAGGCCAGGCACGGUGGCUCACACCUGUAAUCCUAGCACUUUGGGAGGCUGAGGCAGAUGGAUCACUUGAGGUCAGGAAUUUGAAACCAGCCUGGCCAAGAUGGUGAAACCCCAUCUCUACUAAAAAUACAAAAAUUAGCCAGGUGUGGUGGCGGGCACCUGUAGUCCCAGCUAUUUGGGAGGCUGAGGCAGAAGAAUUACUUGAACCCCGGAAGUGGAGGUUGUAGUGAGCCAAGAUCACACCACUGCACCCCAGCCUGGCUGACAAAGCAAGAUUCUGUCUCAAAAAAAAAAAAAAAAAAAAAAAAGAAUGCACGGACUCUAAAGAACAAGUUUGUAACCUACCAUGACCUGCUCCACCAGGGCUCCAGGUUUGAAUGUUCAUUCAUUCUUUUAUUCAAUAGCAUGUACUGAUGCCUGAGUCUACUAAGUUCUAGGAACAGUGACUCAAGUAAGAUCCCAGGGUCAGUGGGGGACAGGAACAGGUGGAUGAACAAAUGCUGCAUGCUGUAAUGGACAUGAGUCAGGGAGACAGAGGGGUGCCAAGGUUGAAGGUCAGAGACCCUGGACUGAAUCCCACCUCUGUCACUUUCUGCACUGUCUCUGGGGAGCCACUUAAUCUUGGGGAGCCUGUCUCCCCACCUGGAAAAGGACGAUGAUGUGACCUCACAGGGUCGUAGUGGGACUCAAAUAAGAUAAUGUGUGUGAAAACGCCUUGCAAAGUGCUAAGUGAGUUGUUGCUAUUAUGAUUAGGCUCAGGGGCUGCCUAUCUGACACUCAUUUUUCUAAUGCCUCAACAGCUGUCUCUCUUACCCUCCCAGGGCAGGUACCACGUUGGAGAAACUUCUGAGGGUGAAGGACACCCACCCUAGAGUAGUGGGCAGUUAAGCUGCCCGCAUAGACACACACACACACACUUUAGUUACACAAGCAGAACACCUUUUUAUAAAAAUUCGAAAGGCAUCAUGUGCCUACAGCCUCAGUUACUCAGGAGGCCGAGGCAAGAGGAUUGCAUGAGUCCUGGGCAACAGAGUGAAACCCAUUUCUACUAUUUAAAAAACACUAAUAAGAAAAAAUAGAUAAGCAGAAAACAAAAAAAUUAAAAAUCCAACGCCUUUAAUCCCACCACCCAGAGAUAACCACCAGUAAUAUGUUGGAGUCAGUUAGCCGGUCACAGUGGUGGGGGGCCUGUGGUCCCAGCUACUCGGGAGACUAAGGUGGGAGGAUUGCUUGAGCCAGGGAGAUUGAGGCUGCAGUGAGCCGUGAUUGCGCCAAUGCACUCCACCCUGGGCAACAAAGCAAGACCCCAUUUCAAAACAAAACAAACAAAAAACCAUUUUGGAGUCAGCUAGAUAUUAUUCUAUUUAUCUCUCUCUACACACACACACACACACACACACACACACACACACACACACACACACAUAUGUAUAUAUAGAGAGAUCUCCACAGUGUUUUAUAAUAUACUUUUCUUAAUAGACAAUUUUUUUUUUUGAGAGGGAGUCUUGCUCUGUUGCCCAGGCUGGAGUGCAGUGGUGUGAUCGCGGCUCACUGCAACCUCCACCUCCCAGGUUCAAGCAAUUCUCCUGCCUCAGCCUCCUAAGUAGCUGGGAUUACAGGCAUGUGCCACCACAGCUGGCUGAUUUUGGCAUUUUUAGUAGAGACGGGUUUCACCAUGUUGACCAGUCUGGUCUCAAACUCCUGACCUCAAGUGAUCCACCUGCCUUGGCCUCCCAAAGUGCUGGGAUUACAGGCGUGAGCCACCGCACCCAGACAAUGGACAAAUAUUUUGAACAUCUUUUGCUGUCUAUAAUACGUUUAUACCACACAAUUGUUAAUGACAGCUUAAUAUUCCAUCAAGUGGACAUGUCUAAAUUAAUUUAAAAAGUUUCCUGGCCAGGUGCGGUGGCUCUUGCCUGUAAUCCCAGCACUUUGGGAGGCCAAGGCGGGCGGAUCAUGAGGUCAGGAGUUUGAGACCAGCCUGGCCAACAUGAUGAAACCCCAUCUCUACUCAAAAUACAAAAGUUAGGUGGGCAUGGUGGCGCACUCCUGUAGUCCCAGCUACUAGGCAGGCUGAGGCAGGAGAAUAGCUUGAACCUGGGAGGCAGAGGUAGCAGUGAGCCAAGAUCUCACCUCUGCAUUCAAGCCUGGGCAACAGAGUAAGACUCUUCUGGAAAAAAAAAAAAAAGUUUCCUUUGUUGUUGAUUUUUUUCCAGAAAUAAAAGCUUCAUGAACAAACCUGUAACUUCCACCUUUGUGCACGCGUCUAAUUAUUGCCUUAGGAUAAAGUUCUGGUAACCAGAGGCUAGGAAUGCAUAUUUUUAUCUCUGAGGAGCCAGGAGCCCAGGCCUCUGGGCAGUGCUCUCACCUCUCCUCCAGGCAGCCCUCCCAGACCUCCAGGGUUGAGUACAUCUCCCAUGGUCCUUUCCUCUCCAAGUAACUUCAUCUCUUAGAGACCUGCCCUGAGACCCCUGAAAAAUGCUGGGAAAGUCUGGCUGGUGACGGCCAGGAGGGGCCGGGGUGGAGAGCACAAAGCAGGCUUGUCUGGGGCACGGGAAGAGGCCCCGCCCUCCGUGCUGCUGGUCCAACAUUCCUCCUGGACAAUGGCUGCCUUGGGAAUCCCGGGAAUGAAGGAGGCGGGCGGCUUCCCGAACCUGCGCCCUCCACCCCCAUCAAGUUGCGCCCUUUCCCCAGAUGGAAAGCAGGGGCACUUUGCAUUGCGGCAGGGUGGGGAGGCCAGCUAGCCUCCAUGCCUACAGCCCCCGCCCCUCCUUUUACCAACACUAAUCCACAACGCCCCGCAGCCGAGUCCUGCUCAGCCACCCCAUCCCCAUGGACCUUGGGCGAGUCCUGCUCCUUCAACUGUAAAAUCAGGAGCUUGGAUUCAGUGGUUGCAAAACUCCCCACAGAUCUCAAAGGCCGAAAUGUAGUGACUAAGGCAUGCACAGGCUUUGGAGCCAGGUUGCCCGAGUUCAAAUCCUGGGCUGCCCUUUACCCUGGGAACUUAAGCCCCUGGGUUGCCGGCUUCCCUCUCGCAAAGUGUGUUUGUUGAUACAGCUCCACUCCCUCCCGAUGGGAAGGCAAACUCCUCAAAGUCUAUAAAUCCCGAUCCAUGUGUAACUCUGCUCAAAACACUAACCAGAUCUCCAACCCCAGGCCCCCUCAUACCCUGUGCGGAUUUUGGCCCCUGGACAUUUGCCCAACAACUGGCCACACUUCUGGGAGCUGCGACGGGCACCUGAUAUCCCUGACGAAGCAUCCUUCCCCAGCAUGUUUCCAUCUUCCCUUGCAUCAGUCAUAAGGCCGUAAAGCUGUAAAUGGUAAAGGCUUACUGGGGCACACAAAAAUUUUAAAUAUAGGAAAACUCUUAUUUAUUUAUUUAUUUAGAGACAGAGUCUCACCCUGUCGCCCAGGCUGGAGUGCAGUGGUGUGAUCUUGGCUCUCUACAACCUCCACCUCCCGGGUUCAAGUGAUUCUCCUGCCUCAGCCUCCUGAGUAGCUGGGAUUACAGGCAUGCGCCACCACGCUCAACUAAUUUUUGUAGGUUUUGUUUGUUUGUUCGUUUGAGUAGAGAUGAAUUUUCGCCACAUUGGCCAGGCUGCUCUCGAACUGCUGACCUCAAGUGAUCUGCCCGCCUUGGCCUCCCAAAGUGCUGGGAUGAUGGGCAUGAACCACUGCACCAGCCAGAAAACUCUUAUGUUAGGUCAUAUGUCCUUAUUUUUGUUUGGGAAAUGCAGGCAUUUCCAAUGCCACCAGCAAUUGCUAGGCAUCAUGGGUGGUAUACACCCCAGGCUCUUAUUAACCUAUUGGAGGGUUAGAACAAACACACUUCAACAGGGACCCAUUCACAAAGUUACCUCUGGAAAUAUUCCUGAGCUUUUUGCCACAAAUCCCUGCCCACUCUCCCUCAUAGACUUGUUCCCUGCUUCCCCUUACUCACCUCCUCCUCAGCCCUAUUCCUAUGCUCCCCUGAAUUCAGAUCCUCUGCUGCAAGUGCCAGAAAACUCCCCUCAUAAUGGCUUCUACUAUAAGGAAAAUACAUGAUCGUAUUUCAUCCAAUUUAGACACCAAUGAUGUUAAGAAGCACUGCUGCUUCAUGUACUUGAUUGAUUGAUUGAUUGAUUGAUUGAUUGAUUGAUUUUUCAGAGACAGGGUCUUGCUGUGUUGCUCAGGCUGGUCUUGAACUCCUGGGCUGAAGCCAUCCUUCCACCUCGGCCUCCCAAAGUGCUGGGAUUACAGGCAUGAACCACCAUACUUCAUGUACUUUAGAAAGAAAAAACACUGGCCGGGCGCGGUGGCUCACGCCUGUAAUCCCAGCACUUUGGGAGGCUGAGGCGGGUGGAUCACAAGAUCAGGAGUUCAAGACCAGACUGGCCAACAUGGUGAAACCCUGUGUCUACUAAAAAUACAACAAUUAGCUGGGCGUGGUGGCAGGUGCCUGUAAUCCCAGCUAUUCAGGAG
rnacentral:lncRNA from 1 species